UACAGGACUCGCAAGACUCCCGUAAACCACUGUGAACUUACCUACAACCCGUUGCCUCGGCGGGUGCUCCGGGCGCGUCUUCGGGCGCUCCGGGGCGCUCCAGCCCGCCGGCGGCCCCUAAACUCUGUCUCUGUAACGUUGGCAUCUCCGAGCAGACUAUAAACGAGUCAAAACUUUCAACAACGGAUCUCUUGGUUCUGGCAUCGAUGAAGAACGCAGCGAAAUGCGAUAAGUAAUGUGAAUUGCAGAAUUCAGUGAAUCAUCGAAUCUUUGAACGCACAUUGCGCCCGCCAGCACUCUGGCGGGCAUGCCUGUCCGAGCGUCAUUUCAACCCUCAGGCCCCGCCUGGCGUUGGAGCCCUGCGCAGCGCAGGCUCCCAAAGACAGCGGCGGGCGCGCCCCGGAACCGAGCGCAGUAAUGCUUUCUCGUUCUGGUCCGGCGCGCGCUCCGGCCGUAAAACCCCCAACUUUCUAAGUGGUUGACCUCGGAUCAGGUAGGAAUACCCGCUGAACUUAAGCAUAUCAAUAAGCGGAGGAAAAGAAACCAACAGGGAUUGCCUCAGUAACGGCGAGUGAAGCGGCAACAGCUCAAAUUUGAAAUCUGGCCCCCCGGCCCGAGUUGUAAUUUGCAGAGGAUGCUUUCUGGCGCGGUGCCUUCCAAGUCCCCUGGAACGGGGCGGCCAUAGAGGGUGAGAGCCCCGUCUGGUUGGCCGCCAAGCCUGUGUGAAGCUCC
rnacentral:rRNA from 1 species